rnacentral:rRNA from 1 species
GAUGAACGCUGGCGGCGUGCUUAACACAUGCAAGUCGAACGAUGAAGCCCAGCUUGCUGGGUGGAUUAGUGGCGAACGGGUGAGUAACACGUGAGUAACCUGCCCUUGACUCUGGGAUAAGCCAGGGAAACUGGGUCUAAUACUGGAUAUGACUUCUCAUCGCAUGGUGGGGGGUGGAAAGAUUUAUUGGUCUUGGAUGGACUCGCGGCCUAUCAGCUUGUUGGUGAGGUAAUGGCUCACCAAGGCGACGACGGGUAGCCGGCCUGAGAGGGUGACCGGCCACACUGGGACUGAGACACGGCCCAGACUCCUACGGGAGGCAGCAGUGGGGAAUAUUGCACAAUGGGCGCAAGCCUGAUGCAGCGACGCCGCGUGAGGGAUGACGGCCUUCGGGUUGUAAACCUCUUUCAGUAGGGAAGAAGCGAGAGUGACGGUACCUGCAGAAGAAGCGCCGGCUAACUACGUG